GUUUUAAACUGUGACAAAAUUUGAUCGGAUUUUGUCGGAAUUCCGUUCGACACCGUGCGCAUCCGCGGCGAAGUCCGUCAAACACUAAACCCUAGAAAUCGCGGCGACGCGCGGCGGAGGUGAGCGAUUCCAUCGAUCGAUCGAGGCCAUGUCCAUGUUCCUCCGGGCCCUUGCUCCCCUCCUCACCCGGAGGUUCUCCGCACGCAGCGCGCAGGCGCAGCGAUCGGCGGCGGCGGCGACGGCGGGGAGUAGUCCAGCACCACGCUCUCCCGUUUCCCCCAGAUCUCAGAUCAAAAUUUUCUUCACUCGCGCGCAGCGGCUCACGCUCCCGUCCAUCUCCGCGCAGAGGGAUCUCGGCGUCGGCCGUGGCGCAGUGAAAGGUGUUCUUGCCUUGACGAGUUCGUUGGCUGGAUUGCUGCUCGGAUUCCUCUAUUUCAAGCAAGAUAGAGAUGACUCAGCAGCCGGGGAGGAGACCAGGAAGGAGGAGGAGGAGGUGACUGUUAAUUGGAGGGACGUGAUCGAGCCAUCCGUCAUGGCAAGGUUCACCAGGAAAGAUGGCACAUUUGCCUAUCUUGACUACAUCGAUUACCUCAACUCCCAAAUGAACCAUGGGGGGAAACCACUCUAUGACAAGAAGUGUUCCGACAAGGAGGAGGCCGUCGUCGAUGAUGCCGCCGAGGAGGACAAUGUGGUGGAUGAGGUGACCAUGAAGGCAAAAUUUGAGGACUGGGGAUGAGCGAGCACGGCCGGAGAUACAGAACCGAGGAGGAGAAGGCUCAUCGGUAUGAGAAUUUCAAGAAGGUUGUCAAGGCCCUUGACAAGUUCAACGCCGAGCGCGGAACGCGAAGCUCUUUACUUGCCCCUUUAGCCCCUAACGAACUCGCGGACUACAGCCAAGAAGAGUUGGACGGACUGGGUACUCUGGCUGAUGAAUCACACUGGGAGGGGUAUCUCGAUCACGUCCACACUAUGAUUGCUCGGGGUAACGAUAUUCGCCAUAAUGAGAAUGCCUGCGAGGCCGUGAAGAAGGUACUCAAUGUCUAUCCCUAAUUAUCUGCGCAAGUAUUGUUGUUCAUUCAGUAUGGCCACUAGAAGGAGUAUCAGAUCUUGUUUAAUUUGGAAGCCUGCAAUCAUAUAUUUAUCUAUAAGUUCGCAUGAUAUAUGCCGCUUUAUAAUUAGCGAAUUGGCUUUUCGAUUUCCAAUUGAUGAAAGUUGUUCUAGUUUGAUAUGAUCUCUCCUGGCUAGUCGUAAGCCAUUGCACAGCAGUCGUAGCAAAGUAGAAACUGCACCGUAGGAGCACUGUAGGCAAUGUUAUCUGCUCUUUUCUUCAGUCUAAUUAGUUAUCAGUUGCUCUAUUAGCCAUUUGGAACUGGCAGCUAACAAUUCUUUCUUCGCACAUAUCUCUUUGUUUUUUUUCUAGCUGUCUUCCUAAAAUUAUUUGUGCAAUCCUUUUUUUAUACAAAUAUAUAAGCACUGACUCUUUAGUUUCAAAAAGAGAAAUACAAAGUAACUCCAGAAAUGUGCAUUGCAAUACUGUGUGACACUAUCUGUUCUUGUUAGUUAUUAUUUGUUGUUCUUGUUUAAUAUUAACUGCAUAUGAUAAAAAGAAAAGCUGUAUCAUGCAUGAACAUUAAAACCCUGAGUGUUUAAUGCUUUAGCAUUAGCUUCAAGAUGCAUUUUUCAAGGAAACUGUGAGAUGCAUUAAUUUUACCUCUGUGUAACUAGUACAUAUGAAAAAUACUUUUGCUGUUUGGAUUUUGCUUCACUCAGUCACUCUUUGUAGUACCAUAGUCUAAUCCUAAACCGAACUCGCUGAAGCUUAGCUCCAAUGCAAGUGGUAUAAGAUAGGAGGAUUUUUACAGUCCAACGGUACCUUGCGGUACCGAUUAUUGACCGUUGGAUCGAGGCAGAUCGAACGGCUGGCGUAGAUCGGUACCGCGGGGUACCAGUUUUGUCCCCGAAGCGGUACCGAGUGAUGAUAAUCGGUGGAAGGGCAGUAUUGUAAUUUCGCGUGCAAUAGAUGGGUCUGGAUCGAGAUCGAGCGGCUUGAACCCUAGCGAAGCUGGAUGAUUUUCGCCGCUGCCGCCGUGUUCCUCUUCCUCGCCACCACCGCCGUGUUCCUCUUCCGCCGCCGGACUUGUUCCUCUUCCGCCGCCGGACUUGUUUCCUCUCCCGCGCCGCCGCCGUUCCCUUUUUUCUCUCUCGCGCCGCCGCCAGACUUUAUCCUCUCCCGCGCUGCCAGCGUUCCCUUGUUGCUCUGCGCCGCCGCCGGGAAUGACAAUGACUUGGACGCCGCCGCCGCCGGGAACGACGACUCGAAACAGAGGAGAAGGGAACUAUUCUCAAUGCGUGACAAAGCAAUGCGUCAAGCCGAGUUGCAGACAAAAAGCAGCUAGUCAGAAAGAAAGAAAGAGCAAAAGCAUCGCGUCUCUUGACGCCGCCGCACCCGAGCAGAGCGUAUUCGAUCACCACCCGCGCCAAGAGCGCUUGUCGAUCCGAUCCGGUGCAGGACAACUUCUUCCAUCAUCCCGGCUGAGGAUGCUUGCUUUGCUGAGCUAAUUGCAUGCAAGAGAGCAAUUGAAACAGGCCAAGGAAGUCAGAGUGUUACCUAGGGACAGUCGGACAGACAGACAAUCCAGAUGUAGUGAGAAUGCUUGAGGGGAGGGAUCUCAACAGAUCAGCUUAUGGAGCCUUAGCACAAGAUAUCAAAGCGAAACUCCUCUUACUUCAGGAGGUAAAGGUUGGCUGGGUCCGACAAAUCAGGCGUCGCAUAAGUUAGCGCAGAAUAGAAUUUUUUUACCAGUGCUUGGUUUAAUGUAUGUAACCCCUCAUUCUUAGAGGCGGCUUUUUUCCCCUUAUUAAAUCCAGGGAACUUCAUUUUCCCCCCUUA